UCUUCAGCAAAAGGAUUAGGCGCUGUAUACGGUUUAUCUAAAGAUGCUCAUACGCUGCUGGAGAACGGCAAUACAAUUCAAUGCACCAACGCAAGACUCUGGGUGGUACCGCCUUGCAUUUGGAGGAACAUCAGCGUUCUUUGCUUGCUCCUCCAAAAAUAACUGUUUCCAUUUAUUCUGAACAAGCAAAUCAAGGUCUAACUAAGUGACUGAUAUUCAAGUUUUGACUAUAAGUUAAUACCCUGUGUACUUUUGUGUUGCCUGGUAACUUUCCUUUGAGCAUUCUUCACAUUUGGCUUUUCCAUCAAUAGCUAAAAUUGGCAGCAACUUUUUAGUUGCAAAAUAAACUCUAUCAUGUUGGCAUAUAUUUACCAAUGAUUUCACAUUUGUCGGGCCUAUAAAUAUUAUUAGGUAUUAUUUUUCCACUGUGUCACUGUAAAAUUGGAUGUGAAUGUAAACCCUGAACUGCCUCAGUACAACCAACACCCUCACACAUUACAAUUCCUUUUGCACUUUCUGCAAAUAAUGGCUGUUACAAAUCAUUUUUCAAGUGUUAUAUGUAUUCUGGUUACUUAAAAUCCUGAACAAUGUUGAAUGUUUGGGGUCGUCAAUAAUAUUGCAAUCCGGGCAAAUCCAUCCAUACACAGAAAUCACUUGCACUUUCAUUGUAUUAUCUACUUUCAUUGUAUUAUCUAUUUCAAGUCUAUUUUGGGAUACAAUUAUUGGACUAAUAAAUCUAGUGUGGACUAAACUAUAAAAAUUCCCUACCUGACUUUUGGAACCAAAUGGUUGUCCCCUUUCAUCUCACAAACAAACCUAUCUUUUGAACAAUGAAAUAUCCAUUUAUCUGCAUUAAUGUUUACUCAAUUUAAUUAUCCUCAUUCACCCAUUCACUUUUAUAUUUUGGCUGAUUUAAUUUUUACCUUUCAUUUCAAUGCUAAGUCUUUUGGAUGAUUGUUUAAGUUCCUCAAUACUGCUGUGAAUUAUUUUUUGCUGAACUACUCUUCUAGCUGGUGACUUUAUUUUGUGUGUCACAUUAAUUUUUUUGGUAACUCAAGACAUGGCCUGGCUCCCAUUUUUAAAAUCUUUUUUUUCCCAACUUCUACUAUGUCUUCUACUCAAAAAUGGGCCCUUCAAGGCAAUAAAAGCUUGAUUACUAAACUGAUGUAUAUCAGUUAAAUAUAUCGUGUAUUGUGAAAUUGUCAUUAUUAAUACGGCAUGUUGAUACUGUACAAAGUACUACAAACUCUAGAAAACAAUUUGCAAAGAAGGAAACAACAGCAAAUAGGGUAAUUCAGAAAGAUAAGGGUAACCCAGCAACAUACGUUUCUUUGUGAAGCAUUUUUUUAAUGACAUCCGCUGCGUUGGCACCCCGCAUUCCCAACAGAAAAUUCGUGAGGUACUGUCGGUGUUCGCGUUCAAUUUUAGAUUUUGCUAACUCCGGACGACGCACACCAAAAAUUGUUUUACAUUUAAUACUUUUAGCCUUCGCUAAUUUCAUUGACCAGUUGCAACCUGGCACUGCGCAAUGCGUAACUCCCAUUUUUUACAAAAUUUCGGAU